UACGUAGGGGGCAAGCGUUGUUCGGAAUGACUGGGCGUAAAGGGUGUGUAGGUGGUUUGAUAAGUUAGAUGUGUAAUACCCAGGGCUUAACUCGGGUGCUGCAUCUAAAACUGUUAGACUUGAGUACUGGAGAGGAUAGUGGAAUUCCUAGUGUAGCGGUGGAAUGCAUAGAUAUCACGCAGAACUCCGAUUGCGAAGGCAGCGUACCGGCGCCCAACUGACGCUGAAGCACGAAGGCGUGGGUAUCGAACAGG
rnacentral:rRNA from 1 species